AUUGAACGCUGGCGGCAGGCUUAACACAUGCAAGUCGAGCGGGGUGAUGGUGCUUGCACUAUCACUUAGCGGCGGACGGGUGAGUAAUGCUUAGGAAUCUGCCUAUUAGUGGGGGACAACAUCUCGAAAGGGAUGCUAAUACCGCACACGUCCUACGGGAGAAAGCAGGGGAUCACUUGUGACCUUGCGCUAAUAGAUGAGCCUAAGUCGGAUUAGCUAGUUGGUGGGGUAAAGGCCUACCAAGGCGACGACCUGUAGCGGGUCUGAGAGGAUGAUCCGCCACACUGGGACUGAGACACGGCCCAGACUCCUACGGGAGGCAGCAGUGGGGAAUAUUGGACAAUGGGGGGAACCCUGAUCCAGCCAUGCCGCGUGUGUGAAGAAGGCCUUAUGGUUGUAAAGCACUUUAAGCGAGGAGGAGGCUCUUUUGGUUAAUACCCAAGAUGAGUGGACGUUACUCGCAGAAUAAGCACCGGCUAACUCUGUGCCAGCAGCCGCAGUAA
rnacentral:rRNA from 1 species